rnacentral:rRNA from 1 species
AAGCGUUAAUCGGAAUCACUGGGCGUAAAGCGCGCGUAGGUGGAUAUUUAAGUCGGAUGUGAAAGCCCUAGGCUUAACCUGGGAAUUGCAUCCGAUACUAGGUAUCUCGAGUAUGAUAGAGGGAAGUGGAAUUUCCGGUGUAGCGGUGAAAUGCGUAGAUAUCGGAAAGAACACCAGUGGCGAAGGCGGCUUCCUGGAGCAAUACUGACACUGAGGCGCGAAAGCGUGGGGAGCAAACAGGAUUAGAGACCCUGGUAGUCCACGCCGUCAACGAUGAGAACUAGCUGUUGGAAAGUUUACUUUCUAGUAGCAAAGCUAACGCGUUAAGUUCUCCG